GCUUGUUCGUUUGCUUGUUUGUUUUUUCCCCACGCCCCCUCGUGGAUUUUCGCGACAGACCGUGCCCGGUGCCGCAGCCCGGCCCGCUCGCAGCCCCGCUCCGCUGGAGCCAGCGACUCACCUGUGGGCAUAGAUCCGGCCCGGAGCUGCGUCCCCCGCGGAGGCACCGACGGGGCCGUGAAGAAGCCACCUGUAAAGUGGGGAAGUGGCGUGCGUGUCAGCACAUCCGGCAGAGAGUGAAAUAAGGAACUCAGAAACGAUUUCUUACGUCUGCUGUGGUUCUCUGUUGGAGGAAGAUGAGAGGUUGUCAUGCAUUCAGAAAAUGCAAGGAAGGUUUAGAGUAGCGAGCAAAUGGAAAAGGACUAGAAAGAAAGUUCAAGAUUGGCAGGUCUAGAAUACUAGGCAAUAUUAGAGAUCUUGUUACUGUUUCUAUGCACCAAAAUACUCCAAAAGAAUGCUGCUUAAAUAUUCAUCUGCAAAAUACGAGAGAUAGAACUGGAAUGCAGAGGAUGAACAAUCUCAGUUCUCCUUUCAAGAGCAGACUCAGAACCAAAAAUUAGACCUGAACAUUACGCUCUGGAAAACAUCUGUCACAGUGCCUGGAUUAAUUUUAUUGGGCACAAGUCCACCAGUUCUUGAGGCUGAAUGAAGGAAGAAUGAUUUGCUUGUGCUAUUUUCCAUGUGCCUUUCUCUGCCUGACUCACCCUUCUGAUACUUUCUGUGCCCCAACUGGUCAUACUCGCACUCUGCCAUCUGCUCAGCCUAUCUCAGCAAACCCCAUGUCUUGUGCAAGCAGCAAGCUGUUGCAAGAUCUCAGGGGGAAGCAGGAGGCCCAUGAUGACAGAGGGCACCUUCCAGAACAGGGGAAAACACUUCCUAAAAUAACCACAUCUGUGACUCUGUUGUAAAAGCUGGCUUUCCUAGGGUUCUCAUUGCCUCCUGCCUACCAGCCUGAGCCUUUAAAAUCAGCACCAACUUACAUGACAGGGAGCCACUAGAAAGCAAGCCCUUCAGGUUGGCACU